GGGCGGGCAGAGGGAGGAGGAUAGAGACUGAGGCUGGAUGGAAAAUUCUCUCUUUUUUUUUUAAACAGGUACAGAUGCCAGGUGUCUCCAAACCAUUAAGAAGGCACCCACAUCUACGGUACAUCACAGGACCUCAGAUUUCUCGGUGGAGGAAGGAAACUAAACAUCAGCGAAGGAAUUUCUCUUCACCUCUUUUUUGUUUUCGCCUCCUCUCUGUCACCUAGAUUUUCCCACCCUCUCCCUUCUUACAUUCCUUUCCCUCUCAUCCAAUCAUCUUCCCCCUCUUUGAUUUUUUGCUGGUAACUCCUCCUACUGUGAUUAGUUUUUUGUUUUUUUCUUCACCGGGCGACAGGAAUCAGUCAGUGUUGAGUGAGACUAAAAUUGUUUUAGAGGAAUGUCAAUCUUCCUGGAGGCUGCAUGAGUGCACGCAUCGCUUGAAAUACUUGCUCAUAAAAUGACUCAGGUAAAACGUCUUAUGAGCUUGAGAAAUUAAUAAAACAAGUCCAGGCUCUGAAAUGUACCCACUGAUAUUGUAUCAUUAUAAAGUGGUCCUGUGUUUCUGGGAGAGCUUCACAUUUGUUUGGAAGACUUUAAAACUUUGAUUUAAAAAAGGAAAUAACAGAGUACAAAAGAUAAACUUUCCUUCAGUGAAGAUUUCACUCGGAUGGGGAAUUUCUGCUGUUCUGAGUCUGCUCCAGUGCUGGCCAGUUCACUUUCCUCCCUGUUGAUACAGGUUCUCCCUCGUCAGUCACAGACAUAAAGCUCAGACAUCUUAUUUUUACCUCUUUCUUGUCUAUUUAAUCUCGGCGAGUUUUUCCAUUGUGUUCCCCUUGUUAGGGCCACUGUGCCUGAUAUGCACUGAUGGAUACCUCAGAAGAUUUUCAUCACUGUGUGUUUCUUCAUGAUCCUUGGUACUGAAAUAAGUCAUUAGGGUCGGGAAGAUGGUGCCUUAGAGUCCAGAAGAUUUUAAAAAUAUUAUGUAAUGCAUUAAAGCUGGAGAAACAAGCCUGUUUCAGAGAAAAAUACACUGGAACUUGCAUCGAACUGUUGGAAAUAGAAGUGUGAAGUUGUCAUAUAAAAUUGAUGAUGAACAAGCAGGUACCUGAUAAGACUUCCAGGUACAAUCAGGUUUAUUGCCAAGAAGGUUUAGUCAGACAAGAAAUAUGUUUUAGUGUUUCGAUAAAAGACGUAGAGUUAAAAAAGAAGAAGCACUCUUACUGCCAAUGGGUGCAAAUUAUUAUGUAACAACUGAAGAUUAUAGCUCUUGUGAGGAACUUUGGGUUUUUUGCCAAAAUUGGCGCCCCCUGUGGACAACGCCCUCUUUGCCUAACUGUCUCCUCACACCAAGCGCGAGUAAAAUCAUUCCUGCGACUGAAUUACAUGUUAAGUCAAUGCAAAGACGCGAUUAGACACUCAUACUUCUCUGGCAGUGACAAUGACGAGCUGAAAAAUGUCUCAAGUUAAACAGAUAUUCGUGUCGCGAUAACCAAUCAACACGAAGGUUGCCAUGUGACAUAUGAAAACGGAAAACUGGAGGCAAGUGAGCAAGUGACUAGUCUUAUCCUAACAGUAAAUUCCGACAAAGUUCUCAUUUUGCUUUUAACAGUUUAAAGUAUGCUGAAGCACUAUGUUAAAAACGCAAUUAAAGGUCUUUUUUUUCUUGAAUCACCAAUUUCAAGCAUGAAAACUUGCAAAAUAAAACUCAUUAAUGAUCUAACUGAUGGUCCUGUUUGCUUUUCAUUAUCAUAAAAAGGGAUCAACAUAACUUUCAGUCUGAGUCAUAAAGUUGAAAAAAAAUCCUUACAGGAGCUUUAAUGUGAAACCACUAUUUUAGAACUAAGAAGGCGCUCUGUAAUAAUUGGAUUCUUAGUGAGCGUAUUUGCCUAGUAUCUGAUUACACCUAAAAUGAGCCUCAUCAACCUGCCAAAGCCAAAUCAAAAUCUGAUUUCUAGUUACUACAAGCUGAAAAAACAAACUUCAAUACCUCGAAUGAGACAAAAUAUCUGCAAAUGCAGCAAGCAAAAUUUUCUGUGUAGACGUUCUUGUUUUGGGAACCAAAUUCAGAAAACUGCGCUUGCAAUGAUCAAUAAAACUCUUCUUUUCAGCUAGUAAUAUCUUAAAAUGAGAUUCAUAUCUGAACUUGACUGGCCAAUGUGGCUUAUUUUGAGUAUAGUGUAAUAUUUUGACGCAUUAAAAGACGAAUAAAUCCAGCAAGAUUUCAGCUUUCGUCGAGAGUGUGGUACCUCCUAGCGAUAACUAUUUCAGGAGAUGAAUUUACAGCAAAUUACGUGAUAUCAAACUAAGGAAAAGUGGGUAUCACUGUGACCGGUUUGCGACCAUUGGAUAGGUUUGUGGCCAGAAAACACAGUGCAUUAUUAUACUUUACUACUAAUAAUAAAAAUCCACAACCCACAAUUGCUACACAGCUUUAUUACCUCCUUAAAUACACACUUGCACAAAUAACAACGUAUGACCCACAUGGACUUUCUGCUCCAAGUAUCUGCCACAAAGACUUUCCUUUUACAGUCGAACCUCCGCUGAGUCACAGCGGUGCUCACCGCAGUGGUCAAAGUCAAAAGAAAAAUCUGCAAAUGAAACCAGCUGUUAUUUAAUCCCAGCUACCAGCUGAGCGGCCGGCAGACAGCUGACCCUUUUCCAAAGUGAGGCCAGGACGUCUGUGAGCAAUUUGCAUUCUUUGCUCUGAGGGUUUGACAAUUUUCAGCCGGCUUGUUAAUAAAAUUAAAGAGAAAUACAUCAGGCUCAAAAACACCUGACAAUAACAGAGCGGUACUUCUCGAUUGGAAGUUACAAAAGAGUUAAGCUGAACUGCUACUGGUGAGAUAUUUUUAGUUGAGGUCCCUUUAUUAUCUUGGUCACUAAACUGGGACAAAGUAGGUGGAAAAUAAAACGAGGUGGGGAUUGUCCUUAGUGUAAAAAUGGUCCAUUAAUACGGCUCCAAUUUGUGUUUAAAAAAGUGCAGUGUGCAGUGAAGGGACACACCCCGGCUAAAUGAGCCCUGACAGGCUCUCAGAGAAGCCAGAACGAAGUGCUGGUGAAAAAGAAGUCACGACGGGAAAUGGAAAACAAAACCUUCAGAGCUUUUUUUUCGUUAGAGAUUUAAACACAGCUAGAGGAGUGUGUUUGCUUUUUUAGCCAAGUGUUAACAUAAAUUGUACUUUUAGUUUGGGGCUUAACGGCGACAAGGGAGAGGUUUAACUCUGACGUUUUAAUUCUAAAGAAAACACCUUCGAAAAUGCAGCUUUAGCAGGACUAUUUGGGAAAAUCUUGCAAAAAAUUUGAUUUCUCUUCCAUCUGUGGGAACCUUUGAGCGAUUCCACUCAUUCUUCAGCAUGUGCCAUGAAUUCGAUCCAACCAUCAGCUGCUGAAAGUCCUAAUUUUCUCUUUUUUUCCUGCACAAAUAAACACCUUUUCCACUUGCAUGUUUUUCUCAGUUUUCUGACCAGACUUUAUGGGUCACUCUCCCAGACGUGAAUCUGAA
rnacentral:lncRNA from 1 species